AACGAACGCUGGCGGCAGGCUUAACACAUGCAAGUCGAACGCCCCGCAAGGGGAGUGGCAGACGGGUGAGUAACGCGUGGGAAUCUACCGUACCCUACGGAACAACUCCGGGAAACUGGAGCUAAUACCGUAUACGCCCUACGGGGGAAAGAUUUAUCGGGGUAUGAUGAGCCCGCGUUGGAUUAGCUAGUUGGUGGGGUAAAGGCCUACCAAGGCGACGAUCCAUAGCUGGUCUGAGAGGAUGAUCAGCCACAUUGGGACUGAGACACGGCCCAAACUCCUACGGGAGGCAGCAGUGGGGAAUAUUGGACAAUGGGCGCAAGCCUGAUCCAGCCAUGCCGCGUGAGUGAUGAAGGUCUUAGGAUUGUAAAGCUCUUUCACCGAUGAAGAUAAUGACGGUAGUCGGAGAAGAAGCCCCGGCUAACCUCGUGCCAGCCGCCGCCGUAAGAC
rnacentral:rRNA from 1 species